CUGAAUGGCCUCUUGGCCUUCAACCUUGUAAACCUGUGGAAGCAAGAUGUGCUUCGGCGCCUCGGCGCCGCUUUUAUGCUUUACUCAGUCUUUGUGUCUGAAUACAAUACAAGAAAUA
rnacentral:misc_RNA from 1 species